UUAAACACAGUCACCACCACUAGCUGUGCAUUUUCACCAGCGAUGGACAAGAUCCUGCAUGCUGUGCUUGUAACAGUUUGCACCAGUGGAGGUGAACCACUGAACCACUCUCACUGCUGUUGAAGCACACCCCCAAAGCCUAACUGUGCUCACAUCCACUGUUUGGUCUCCAUAAACAUUCAGCAAACAUCAGUGAAUGUUAAUGGCUGCCAUUUUUUCCAUGUAGAUGAACUCAGUGACAUACCUUUGCUUCAUACACACUUCCAUGUCAGACACCAUUCUGUCAGACUGCCUCUCUGCUGUCAUCUGUUGCACAGCAACACAACAUAAUGGAAUAGUGAUGGAAGGUUCUGCCUCUACUGCCAUCCCACCAACAUCCACCUCUGACAUCAUGGGCCACCAUCAGAAAAUAGGAGCAAAUCUGUUGGGAGCAAGGACAGAAGCAAACUGAAAACUGAAAACUGAAGAUUCUGGUAACAUUCAUUCAAUUCUCAACAUAAAACCUUUAUGCUGCAUGUAUGCAGGCAGUAUGUAUAAUUACUUGCUUUCCAUCUGAAGUACACAACUCUAUGGUAUCUAAGCACUUAGCGUAACAUAAAUUUAUGUAAGACUAGCACCUCAUUUAAGUAAAUAAAGACUGUUCCAUUUUAGCUGAAGGUGUUUCUAAAUCAAUAUAAUUGUAUUAAUGUAAUUGUUUGUGGAUUAACUUUUAUUUUUAAAAUUAUUAUUUCCCAGUUUAAAUCCAAAUUCCACAGACAGUCUUCUUGCUUUCUCAGUAGCUCUGUCAGACAUCCUGUGAUCAAGGCAGUCCUAACUUCAGGCUGUUUGCCAGUCUGAAUUAGGAGUACAACCCAGACCAUUAAGCCUUCAGGUAUGCCCAGCCUACAGUAGCUGUAGCACAACUCAGUGCAUUAUCCUACCUAUGCAACCUCACAGAGGCAAAAUGAUAUAUCCCUGCUGGUGACUUUGUAGGAGCCUUCUACCACAGGCAGCAACACUACUGGAAGUGACGGAGCUAGUGAUGUCCACAUGCAGAUCCUAAUGAAUCUGACAAGUCUGUUUCUCAUGCUGCAGUGAAAAAGCAUUGAAAGGGCAGAACUGUCCAGGUUUGGGCCUCAGUUUCCAUACUGCCUUGAAUCAUUAAGUCUCCCUAGCAGUUAUGUCCUCUACACUUUGGAAGUAACCUUUCCUAUCAGAAGAAGUAAUUUUUAAAAUGCAACAUUUUCUCUAUAAACACAAUCUUCCUUAUUUAUGUAUAAUGUACAGUAUACUCUGUAGCCUGAACCAGUGAUUGAGCACCUGGUGGGAAGGCAGGGCCAACCCAAGGGAUCUCAGGUGCAUUACAGAGUGACUGUAAGGGGUGGAGCCAGAAUGCACCCCUUCCCAGACCACAUUUAGGGGUUGGCAGGGGAGGCAAGGGUAUCUUGCUGGAGAUUCCUGCCUUCUGGAGGCCUUCCAAAGGGCAGCAGGUUGGGUUUUUUUCCACCCCCACUUUGUUUCUGUGUCCACAGCUGCUGCAUUUGGGCUUGUUCACAUUUGCUGCAGCCUACGAUUGUGCCAUCCCACUAUUAUUGCUGUACUUUUCAUCAUGUUAUAGCAUUAUAAUACUCCAUGAUUUAUUUUUUUGCAUUGAAGAAGCUUGCACUAUAAUUAGAACCCUCGGGCUACUGAGAAGUCCAAAACAUUUCUAAUGUGAACAGGAAGUCACCAUGUGCAUUGCUGAAUUCUUGGUUUUCUAUUGCCCAAACACCUCUGAAGGCACUGCUGAGGUUGCUUCCCAGGAGCAGACACCUGAUCUUUAUUGCAUAAGGACAGCCACAUUUUAGAAUUACUAAUUUGCUUGGUAAUAGCUCAGGGAACCUCCUAUUGUUUGUUUAUUCCCCAAGUAUUUAAUAUAGCUGUGUGCUCAGAUUUGGUUAGGAGGUGUGAAAAUUCCUCAGAGGGUGUUUUACUGGCUCAGUGAGAACGUUAAGAACAGAGUCUGCCUUUGAGUGCUCAGAGCAACGUGCCAGGACUGAUGGCAGCUCCAGAGCUGCUCUCAUUCUGCUGCAGGUUGACAAGACAGAAGUUGAAAGUCUGCUUAGUGCAGAGCUUCAAACACCUCAAAAAAUACUUGAGGCCUUGCAAGAUAGAGGGUAGGUUUUUUUAAUUAAUAUAUAUAUAUUUAAUUAAUAUAUCUUUGUUGGCUCAAGCCAGAUUGUAAUUUCCUGCAGCAUACUGCUGUAUUUUUGUAAAAUUUUCAAGAAAAUAGCAUUCCUUUUAAACAGAUACCACCCACUGAAUGUAACCCUCAUUUAAAAUCAAUAUACCAGUUUCAUUAGUGCACAAUGCCUUGCCCAGCUACUGUAUGCUGCAUUAUGUGAAGUACCCUACGGAUAUCUUGUACAUAGGCAAUCUUCCUCCAAAUAUUUGUGUUUCUUUUUCCUGGUGCUGCCACUCAUAAACUCAUAACAGACUCAAGCAUGAAAAUCUCAAACACAGAAUUUCAAAUGAGAUUAAUAUAAAUACGUGUGCAGUUUUCCUCAUGCUUAUGAAGCUCUAGUCUCACUGAAAUUAAAGGCAUUUUUGAUUUGGAUUUCAGUACAACCAAAUUAUAAAUUUAUUUCAAGAACACUUCAAGAUAUGCAUUUCUUACAGGAAAAAAAGAUUGUGCUGUUAAAGUUAGUAAAAUUAAAUAAAAACAAACUGAAACAGUUUCUGGGUUUCCUUACAUCUGGAAACCCUGAACUAUUUUGUGUGCAGGGAAGCAGGUAGAGAAACUGCAGAUCACAAUCCUGGCUACUCAGAUCAUUUACAAUAUCUUACUGUAAAGUUUUUUAGAAAAUACCACAUAUUUGGUGAAUCUGAACUUUGUUUUACUACAAAGUCCAUUUCAGGUCAAUAAUAACUAAAUCAUACCGUUGCUAAUUGCAUGUCAUUAUAAUAACUUAUUUGCCAUAAAUAUUUCAUUUACAUGACAUUGAGGGGACAGUAUCUGAGCACAGGUAGGAACAGAGUAAAGACAGUGCUGGGUAUUGCUGCAAUAAAACCUUAUAGAGCGGUGCAAAUAAAUUCUGUUUUAUCAUUUUGGGAAGUAUUCUGAAGUUUGCAGGCAACCUAAAAAACUCUUGUUAAAAUGCCACAUAGAAUAAUUCAUACUUACAUUACAAAUUUACUGCAGACAAUGUGAAAUAACAUAAACUGAGCCAAUGUGGAAUAACGUAAACUGAGCAACAGAUAAAAGCUUUAAUCAUUACUUUUAUAUUUAUGUUAGAUUUUCCUUAAUUUAUUCCAGCUGACUGUAAUUCUUUACUUCUACUUUCGUCAUUUCCCAGCCUUCUUUGUCUCCAUUUUAAACAUCAGAAAUAAAACACAGAUCUUGAAGUUAAUUCAAAAUCUAUUUUAGUCCACUCUAUAAUGUGUCAAGUCUGAGUACAAAGAAUUCUUUUCCUUGAGAACUGAGUAACGUACGAUCAUACAACUCCAGCAGGAAAGCUCAUCAGGCUGAGAGUACUAAUCCUGAACAACCGUGUGAUCUGAAAGCCCUGCCCUAAUGCCUCAACUUGGAACUUCCCCAUUUCUCUCAUCUUACCAUAUCUUUUGCUUCAGAAGAAAAGGUUUGUAGCCCUGAACGUAUUAUGACCGUAGAUCUGCAUACAGGAGGACCAUAUGGAUUUCAUAUGGAUUUGUCUUGAGCUUGACUCCCACUUGAAGUCUUUGAAAUCUAUUAUGGGCUGAAAUUACACUUCAGUCUUAUCUACAGCAAAGGCACUAAACAGGGACUCUUUCACCCCCCAACUGUUUUCAUUAAGCUUAUAAGGACUUCAUAUCACUGACGAUGAAUGAUAUUACUUUCCUGGGAGAACACAGUGUAAAACAAGUGGUAAGGUUGGAAACUAGGAAUGGCAGAGAAGAAGAAGAGAAGUAAUAGUUCUAUAUUUUUUACUAUGACAUUCUUACAUGCAAAACAUGGAACUUUUGAAGUAAUGCUCUACAAAAAGAGUACAGAAUUCUCAUACAAAAUUAAAAUCGUAGCAGUCUUCAAGACCUAUUGUUACUGGAAUAGCAAUAAAUAAACACAGACAAUUUGGAACAUUAAAAUCAUGACUUUCUCAAGGACUUAUUGGUGAUAAUGCUGUUAGUAUUUUAAAACUAAGUUGGUCACAUUUUAGAAGCACUAUAUAUAUAUUGAACAUAUGGAUAUUUCCACCAGGUUUUGAUUAUGUAAUGUGAACAUCUUGUUACUUUUUUUUGAAGUACAAUGAAACAUUCCAGUUAAUUCAGCCCAGUUUUAGCUUAAAAAUGGCUGUGGAUUUAGUAAAAACAUUUCAUUUUAUACUACUAACUUCUAGGAGAAACUGUUUCACUUUAAGACAUUAAUAUUUCAGGAGGCACCUUUCAGAAACUGCUGCUGCUGAGGUGUGGACAGACCACUAGGCAGUAGCCCACAGAAUAGUGUAACAAUGUUUGACAAUUUAUGCAAUUACAAUUUCUUGUAUAUUGACCACUGAUCCCUGUUACACUCACUUCAACUUUAAUUAAAAAUUCACCGAGUGAUAACAUUCUCAUCUACUACCUUUUUAACCACAUUAACUAAAACAGGACCCUGGACCAUUUUGAGAAACCACUGUGGGAAAUUUCUUUGAGAGUUCUCUUAAUGUAUUCUGUAUUCAUAAAGACUACUUUUUCAUCUCUCCACUUCCCCUCCAGUUGAUUAAAAUGAUGGGGGUUUUAGAUGCAAUGAUGCCAAGAAGCAUGCAAAAGAGUGCAAAAUGCAUGACUGGAAGUAAUGUAGUCAAGUAUCUUCCGAAAAGCACUUACAAUAUGGAUACAUGUCUACAAGCUAUACGCAUGUGGAGAUAAUUGGUUGCUUCAUAACCGUGCUGAAAGCCUGUAAUAAUGCAUCUCCUCUUUCACUUAUUCAUGAGAUUUCAGCAUUCAGAUAAUACACGAUGUUCUUCAAAACUUAAUGUCAUGUAUGUGAGCAUUUUCAAAUUGUAUUUUUUCUUACCUGUAG